CAGAAGUCAGCCACACCUUGAACGAAGGUGUAUUCAAAUAUGGGAGCAGGUUUAAGGCUCUCACCUGCAGUAAAAGCACCUGCCCCGACUGGUUCAUUACCAAAUAUAGAUGAUGGACGGUUGACUCCAGAUACUGAAAGAAUAAAAUGCAACACAAUGGUGGAAUUUUAAAACCAGAUUUCAACUCAGAAACAACGGUACGACUUAAUAGCUUGGAAGUCCGAAACCAGACUCCCUGAGCUACGAGCGAUCGGCCUGCAUCUCAAUCAAACCACGUCAUAUCCACGUGAUCUCACCUACAUGUAGCUACCUUCGUAGCAUAGGUAUUUCCCAAGGAUUAUGAUCACGUGCAUAUAUAUGCAAGACCGCAUUGUGUUACAUUCCAAGGCGGAUUUUGGUCAUCGCGUACACAACAUCCUAUUUAUCAUAAUCUGCUUUCCUCGGCGUAUUUACUCGUUCACCCUCCGAGGCUGAUCAGUGGACCGUAUAAUUACAAUCGCCGCAUUACUCAGGAGUGAAAACAACGCGAAACUCCAGGGAAA